UCUCCGUAGGUGAACCUGCGGAGGGAUCAUUACAAGUGACCCCGGUCUUACCACCGGGAUGUUCAUAACCCUUUGUUGUCCGACUCUGUUGCCUCCGGGGCGACCCUGCCUUCGGGCGGGGGCUCCGGGUGGACACUUCAAACUCUUGCGUAACUUUGCAGUCUGAGUAAACUUAAUUAAUAAACUAAAACUUUUAACAACGGAUCUCUUGGUUCUG
rnacentral:misc_RNA from 1 species